CUGGUUCACAGGAGAGGUUUGAGGUUGGGCUUACCUAACUUCCCUUGACAGACAGGCCAGGCUCGAGCAAUUGGGAACUCAGUCAUUCUGAAAAGUGAGGUUUCCACGAUGGGGCUUGAGAAAAAUACAAAUUGGUAAACAGAGACGUUUGAAUUUUCGUUAGAAUGAGACUUUAAAAAAUAGAUCUUUUCUGUAUUCCCAGUCCAAAUAAGUGGGGAGAUUGCAUUCAAAGGACUUUGUCUGGGGAACUUACUCUAGCGGCGGCUCUCUUGCUCUCCUUGAAUUGGUUCGCCCAUGCUGGUAACUGGCACUUGCUAGAACACCUUGUCUGGUGAGUUCAGGAGAACAAGGAGCUAAACAUAAUCUGCAGUAGGAAACAGAGACAGCUGAUGGAUUCGUAGACAAUGUUACAUGGAGUUAAGUGUUGUAUCCUCUUUAUUCUUUUAGAGGUCUGCUUGGUAACGUGAAAGACACGUUCGUCCAGUGCCUGAAAUACCCUUCACAGUGUGUUCCCAUUACAAGGGCUUGGGAAUAGUCACCUGAAGUGAGCACACCAUUUCUACUGUGGUCUUUGAUUUUUUUGCUUUAUAGGGAUUAGCAUACAUGUUUCUGAAAAUUGAAAAGUCAGGAGAGUAGAGGGGAUAGACGUGCUCAAAGCAGGCAAUGAAAUCAUCCACUGAAGCAUGUGUGGUCCACGGUGGAGCUGGUGUUUGAAUCUUCUGCUGCCUUUCCUCAGGCUGUGCCUUUAUUGCUUCCGCUCACAGCUGGAAUAGGAUUUGAGUGGAAAUGUGAUUGGAGUGGAAGGCAUCAGGGAGGGAGCCUGAGCUGAGACCACAUCUUGAAAACACAGAAUUGAGGGAGCAGAUGGAAGAAAGAAAGUCAGCAGGCUUGGAGGAUGAUGAUAACCCAAAGAAGAUUAAGGUGCUGGUGGAGGAGGUGCGUUGGCAAAGGAGCUGGAUGACCUGUCCUGACCCACGACCCUGAACCUCAGCCAGAUUGCAGCCUCUCAGAACCAAUGCUUGGACUCCAUGUUGGCUCCAAGCCCUCAACACUACCAAAGUCUCCAGAGGAAACAGCUGGUGU